UCAGACGAUGCGUCAUGCAUAUCAAUAAGCGGAGGAAAAGGAACUAACAAGGAUUCCCCUAGUAACGGCGAGUGAAGCGGGAAGAGCUCAAAUUUGAAAUCUUAAAGGGUUUCCCUUUACGAAUUGUAGUUUAAAGAAGUGUUUUCUGUUGAGGUUUUGGUAAAAGUUCUUUGGAAUAGGACAUCAUAGAGGGUGAGAAUCCCGUAUUUGACCUUUACUUUCAACUUUGUGAUACACUUUCAAAGAGUCGGAUUGUUUGGGAAUGCAGUCCAAAAUGGGUGGUAAAUUUCAUCUAAAGCUAAAUAUUGGCGAGAGACCGAUAGCGAACAAGUACCGUGAGGGAAAGAUGAAAAGAACUUUGAAAAGAGAGUUAAACAGUACGUGAAAUUGUCAAAAGGGAAGCGUUUGACACCAGUGUUGUUUUUCUGAAAAUCAAUUAAAGAACUGUUUAUGCUAAGCUGUUUAGACUUUAUCAGCUAAUCUGUUUAGUUUUGAGCUUUUCUUUAAUGCACUUUUCAGUUAACAAGUCAACAUCAAUUUCUUUUGCUGUAAAAAAGCUUGAGGAAGGUGGCUUGAGAUUCGUCUUAAGUGUUUAUAGCCUCUUGCCUAUGCAGUCGGAGAGAUUGAGGUCUGCAGCGUAGAUCCUUCGGGGCUAAAUGCAUUUGUGCUAAGUUAUAGCAUUUUAUAGACAACUUGUGACUAUGAUUUGUCUUGUAGCUUACUCGCUUAUGUUAUUUUACCUACGCUUAGGAUGUUGACACACGCGCGUGCUCG
rnacentral:rRNA from 1 species